rnacentral:tRNA from 1 species
UUAAUUAAAACCAAAAGGAGGUGUAAUAUUGUUAAUAUUAUUAGUGAUAUUUUAAUAUAUCUAGUUAAA